rnacentral:pre_miRNA from 1 species
AGAGGGAUAGUUGGGUCAAAUGGUGGUUCCAUUCCCAGAUUUCCAAGGAAUUUCCAUACUGCUUUCUAUAUUGGUUGCACCAAUUUGCAAUCCCACCAGCAAU